CUAAACUGAUAGUGGUAGGUGUGUGGUAGAUGCCUAGUCUCCUUUAUGGCACUAAUCUGAUAGUGGUAGGUGUGUGGUAGAUGCCUAGUCUCCUUUAUGGCACUAAUCUGAUAGUGGUAGGUGUGUGGUAGAUGCCUAGUCUCCUUUAUGGCACUAAUCUGAUAGUGGUAGGUGUGUGGUAGAUGUCUAGUCUCCUUUAUGGCACUAAUCUGAUAGUGGUAGGUGUGUGGUAGAUGCCUAGUCUCCUUUAUGGCACUAAUCUGAUAGUGGUAGGUGUGUGGUAGAUGUCUAGUCUCCUUUAUGGCUCUAAUCUGAUAGGGGUAGGUGUGUGGUAGAUGCCUAGUCUCCUUUAUGGCACUAAUCUGAUAGUGGUAGGUGUGUGGUAGAUGCCUAGUCUCCUUUAUGGCACUAAUCUGAUAGUGGUAGGUGUGUGGUAGAUGUCUAGAAUCUCUUUUGGCCCUAAUCUCAUAUUGGUAGUGGUGUGGUAGAUGUCUAGAAUCUCUUUUGGCCCUAAUCUGAUAGUGGUAGGUGUGUGGUAGAUGUCUAGUCUCCUUUAUGGCACUAAUCUGAUAGUGGUAGGUGUGUGGUAGAUGUCUAGAAUCUCUUUUGGCCCUAAUCUGAUAUUGGUAGUGGUGUGGUAGAUGUCUAGAAUCUCUUUUGGCCCUAAUCUGAUAUUGGUAGUGGUGUGGUAGAUGUCUAGUCUCCUUUAUGGC